AAAUCACAAUGCGGGACUGUUAGUCUUGCAAUUGGAUUGAGAACAACGUACAACUCUUAUCGAUAAGCCAUUGGAGGGCAAGUCUGGUGCCAGCAGCCGCGGUAAUUCCAGCUCCAAUAGCGUAUAUUAACGUUGUUGCAGUUAAAAAGCUCGUAGUUGAAGUGAGGGAGUGUGUGUUCAUGAGAGCUAGUCUCGAGUGUUCACAACCUCCCCCCUCCAAUCGGUGUAGUGGGGUAUUCAGUUAUUUCACUACUCCUUUGGUCGUUUACUGUGAGAAAAUUAGAGUGUUCAAAGCGGGCGUUUGUUUGAAUAGAUUAGCAUGGAAUAAUGAUUGAAGGCUUUCGUGUUCGAUUUGAUUGGUUUGUUCAUGGAAGCAAGGUUAAAAGGAACAGUUGGGGGUAUUCAUAUUCACUAGUUAGAGGUGAAAUUCUCGGAUUUAUGGAAGAUGA
rnacentral:rRNA from 1 species